UGCAGUCGAGCGAGCUGAUUCAAAGAUCCCUUCGGGGUGAUUUGUUGGACGCUAGCGGCGGAUGGGUGAGUAACACGUGGGCAAUCUGCCCUAAAGACUGGGAUACCACUUGGAAACAGGUGCUAAUACCGGAUAACAACAUGAAUCGCAUGAUUCAAGUUUGAAAGGCGGCGCAAGCUGUCACUUUAGGAUGAGCCCGCGGCGCAUUAGCUAGUUGGUGGGGUAAAGGCCUACCAAGGCAAUGAUGCGUAGCCGAGUUGAGAGACUGAUCGGCCACAUUGGGACUGAGACACGGCCCAAACUCCUACGGGAGGCAGCAGUAGGGAAUCUUCCACAAUGGACGCAAGUCUGAUGGAGCAACGCCGCGUGAGUGAAGAAGGUUUUCGGAUCGUAAAGCUCUGUUGUUGGUGAAGAAGGAUAGAGGCAGUAACUGGUCUUUAUUUGACGGUAAUCAACCAGAAAGUCACGGCUAACUACGUGCCAGCAGCCGCGGUAAUACGUAUGUGGCAAGCGUUGUCCGGAUUUAUUGGGCGUAAAGCGAGCGCAGGCGGAAUG
rnacentral:rRNA from 1 species